UACGUAGGGUGCAAGCGUUGUCCGGAAUUAUUGGGCGUAAAGAGCUCGUAGGCGGUUUGUCGCGUCUGCUGUGAAAACGCGAGGCUCAACCUCGCGCCUGCAGUGGGUACGGGCAGACUAGAGUGUGGUAGGGGAGAUUGGAAUUCCUGGUGUAGCGGUGAAAUGCGCAGAUAUCAGGAAGAACACCCGUGGCGAAGGCGGUUCUCUGGGACGGUACUGACGCUGAGACGCGAAAGCGUGGGGAGCGAACAGG
rnacentral:rRNA from 1 species